UACGUAGGGGGCAAGCGUUGUCCGGAAUCAUUGGGCGUAAAGCGCGUGUAGGCGGCUCGGUAAGUCUGCUGUGAAAGUCCAGGGCUCAACCCUGGGAUGCCGGUGGAUACUGUCGGGCUCGAGUCCGGAAGAGGCGAGUGGAAUUCCUGGUGUAGCGGUGAAAUGCGCAGAUAUCAGGAGGAACACCGGUGGCGAAGGCGGGUCGCUGGGCCGAUAUUGACGCUGAGGAGCGAAAGCGUGGGGAGCGAACAGG
rnacentral:rRNA from 1 species